AGACAUUGCACUCUGGGACUAUCCACGCUGCCUCCUAAAUCCACUGCAGUCUGUCUGCAAAGGGUUUAACAGUCCCACUCUGGUUUUGCAGUGUAACAGACCUGACCCCAAUCCAGACCCUCAGCCUGAAGUAUCAAAAGGCCCUUUGGCAGCUGCUGAAUGUGCUGUUACCACCACCUGGUCAUGAUCUGACAGCAACGUAGGAUGGCUCUGUUUUUAAGGGAGAGAUGAAGCACCUACAUGUGGGUCAAGAGCCAUCAAAAGGGACUUCGGGGCUUUAGCAUGAUGGCUAAAGGAAUUGAAUGCACAGAUCAUCUAUUCUUCUCUGCCUCCUGCAGUGGGGCCAAGCUGACAGCCCCAGCAUCCUUCCCCAUCACUUCCCCUUGCAGCAAGACUAAAUCCAGGCACGCCUGGGGCAGGCAAGAGCUUCUCUUGCUCUCUGAAAUACAUGGUUUUCUUCACCUAUUGGCCUCGUGCCACCUUGCAUUGGCAACGCUGCUCCUUGUUACUGGCAAGCCCAAGCAUCCCUACGAGCCUGGCUGGAGAACACGGCAGCACGUCUGCACAGUGAGUGUUAUGCUGCCCUACAUUCCUCCUGUCGGCUGUCUGGGCGGGAAGAACACAGCUUCAGAGUCUGCUGUUUUUGAAAUGGAAAACAUUAUUCAUGCUUCAAGUUUGAGCUGAGUGACUUUAAACGUGUGUGUGUGCUUCGCUCCCUUUUCUCUUUGUCCCUGUCACCUUCAGUUGCCAUUCUUUUCCGUCUCCCAAACCUUCUUGUAACUUAUCAUCACAGAGAGAAGCCAUAAAGUAAAACCUCAGACCCAGAGGACAGGCACAGCUGGCUGGAGUUAUGCAGUUCAUAGGAAGAAAUGGGACAGCACGUGCAGGAGCCUUACUGGCACCAGAGGGAAGCCAUCUGGAAGCCAUCAGCUUUCAGACUGUGUCACAUAACAGGGAGCAUUUGCUCAACAUUAAUCUCUCCUCCUGCCUUUUCACUUCACUGCUCUCUGGCUGCCCAUGCUUCCGUCAUCAGCCCUAAAUGUCUGCUGCAGCCCCAAACCCUCCUACCAACAUCCUGUGCCAUCUCUGCUUCAGGAUGCUCCAGAUGGCUGGUCCUGUUCCAUCUCCUUCCACAAGAACCCUCAAGACAAACACCUCUAGGCCUCAUUCUUCCUUCUCUCAGCAUUAAAUUCUUGCAAAAAAUGAAACCCCUUUGCUCGAGAGGGUAUUUUCUCCCCUUUAUGGGGUUCAGUAUCUGAGUGGUCAGUUCUCUCCUCCAGCCUGGUCUCCACAUUUUCCCCUAUCACCUCACCCAGCUUGAUGCCCUUGCUUCAAGCUUUGCAGCAAAAAACUUCCUAACCCUACAGCUGUCCUGGUCUGAAAAUCCAAACUACCACCUCUGUGUGCGUGCAUCUCUCUCUUACAUCCAGAAAAGCUGCCACACUAACACAGUCACCAUCAACACAUGCUGAAAAUCCACAUCCUUCAUUACCAAGUUACCAUCAUGUCUUCAUCAGACUUGCAAGCCCAUUUUGUAUGCAGAUCUUAAAAGUUCAUAGCUGCAGGUUAAACACCUUUUUGGUGCCCAUGCUCAGAUGGGCAGGAAGGUCCUGUUGAUUUUUCUGCUGAUUUCAUCUUCAGGGGUGAUAGCAAUGUCCUGGCAAUGCCAGUUGUCACACGCACACACAAACUGCAGUAGCAGCGUGUGCUGGCAUGAAUGGUCUCUUGGCUUGUCCUUAGGGUGACUCAACAAAAAGCAAGCCAGGAUUUAUGCAGAGUGAAAGGCCCCUGUUAAUGUCCUGCUUGGGGAUCUGCAUUUCCAUGUAGUGCAGUAUAAAGCCAAUAGAUACUGAGAGAACUUGAAGAACUGAGAGAACUUGCCCCUGCCAGCAAAACCCAUUUCACUUGAUAUAUUAUCAGAAAAUGAUUUACUUAUUUUUUUAGGGCAGGCUUUCUUCCUGCUGCUUUAUCAAACCACAUUAGUUCUGUGCAGGGUCCAGUAGGUGCCAUAUGUUGUUCUACUCCCUGAGCAGAGCUCCAGAGCACCUUUAUGGAUGUAAGUCAGACUCCCAUGUACCACUUAAGUCAAUGCAGAGAGCAAAUGCUGCUGAAAACUGACUGAGAGGAAGAAAAGCAAUUAUUUCUCACACACACCAACUUGCUGUAAAGGGACAAGGAUGUGUGAUGAAGGAUUGAAACACGGAGACCUGGUUUAGAUAGCAGCAUAGCUAAGCAGAUGGGACUCAGCUCUUCUCUUUUAAGACGGAUUGUACUAAAGCUGUAGGUGGUGUUGAGCAGAGAAAUCAGCUCUUCAAGAGGAAGGUGUCUGCGAGGACCCUCUGGUGAGGAUCCUGCACCCAAAAUGUAGUAUCUGAAACCAGCAACAGGAACCUCCUACCUCUCAGACACACUGAUCGGGAUGAGGAGAACAGAAACAGGGCCAGGAGGCUGACAGGCUCCUUGGGGUCGAAUCCUGUAAAAUGAAAUGACAGGUUCUGGUUAGACUGAGGGUGUCCAUUCUCUGUCUCCAAACCAGGGCAGGUCAUUCAAGCCCAAACAUUGGUUUCUUUGUCUCCAUGCAUUACCAUCAUCUUGUGCCAAUGCAGAGGACGUCAGGAGAAUUAGAACUCCGUGAUCUUGUAAAUAUUUGAUGAUUGCCUGUAACAGACAAAUACAGUUAGAGAAAUCUCUCCCUUUCCCUCCAAGCAUACUUCAACUCACAACAUGACUGUCAGCAAGCCCUGAUUGCUGGUGAAUAUGUGCCAACACCACCAGCGCAUUCCCUGCUGAGGAGAUUGCCAUGCCACUUGAGUCACAGGGACCUGGAACCCAAAGUCUUCCAUUUAAGGUUGUUAUUCUUCUCAAAGUCCUUCCAUGUGUUACUGAAAAUGAGAUAUAAGCUUAGCCAAGCUGAUUGCAAUUAAUAAAUGAGGUCAAUGACUUUA